rnacentral:rRNA from 1 species
GGGUAACCGUCGACCCCAAGAGAGUCGGAUAACACUGGAAACAGAUGCUAAUACCGGAUAACAACAGAUGAUGCCUAUCAACUGUUUAAAAGGUGGUUCUGCUAUCACUCUUGGAUGGACCUGCGGUGCAUUAGCUAGUUGGUAGGGUAACGGCCUGCCAAGGCGAUGAUGCAUAGCCAGUUGAGAGACCGAUCGGCCACAUUGGGACUGAGACACGGCCCAAACUCCUACGGGAGGCAGCAGUA